UACGUAGGGUGCAAGCGUUGUCCGGAAUUAUUGGGCGUAAAGAGCGUGUAGGCGGCUCGAUUAGUCCGCUGUGAAAGGCCCGGGCUCAACCCGGGGACUGCGCUUGAUACUGUCGCGCUGUGAGUCCGGGAGAGGAUGGCGGAAUUCCCAGUGUAGAGGUGAAAUUCGUAGAUAUUGGGAAGAACACCGGUGGCGAAGGCGGCCAUCUGGACCGGCAC
rnacentral:rRNA from 1 species